UACGUAGGAGGCAAGCGUUGUCCGGAAUUACUGGGUGUAAAGCGCGUGUAGGUGGUGGGCCAAGUCUGUGGUGAAAUCGCCCGGCUCAACUGGGCGGGGUCCGUGGAAACUGGUCGACUGGAGGACGGUAGAGGCGAGUGGAAUUCCCGGUGUAGUGGUGAAAUGCGUAGAGAUGUGGAGGAACACCGAUGGCGAAGGCAGCCCCCUGGGCUAACACUGACGCUCAUGCACGAAAGCGUGGGGAGCAAACAGG
rnacentral:rRNA from 1 species